AGUAAUGUAUAGGAACUUGCCUAGUAGUGGGGGAUAACGUGUGGAAACGCACGCUAAUACCGCAUACGCUCUACGGAGGAAAGCGGGGGAUCUUCGGACCUCGUGCUACUAGAUGGGCCUAUAUCAGAUUAGCUAGUUGGUAAGGUAAUGGCUUACCAGGCGACGAUCUGUAGCUGGUUUGAGAGAAUGAUCAGCCACACUGGGACUGAGACACGGCCCAG
rnacentral:rRNA from 1 species